GCAGACACAUUCCAGCCAAUCAGCAUCAGACCCUCCCUCCCAGACCCUCCCACCUCCUGGACAGCAUCCAUUUUACAUUCAUUGUGAAGCUGCAUUCUUAGUGAGCUGUCCAGGAGGUGGGAGGGUCUGGGAGGGAGAGUCUGCUGCUGAUUGGCUGGAAUGUGUCUG
rnacentral:miRNA from 1 species